rnacentral:rRNA from 1 species
AACGAACGCUGGCGGCAGGCCUAACACAUGCAAGUCGAACGGGAUCUUCGGAUCUAGUGGCGGACGGGUGAGUAACGCGUGGGAACGUGCCCUUUGGUUCGGAAUAGCCCUGGGAAACUGGGAGUAAUACCGGAUGAGCCCUUCGGGGGAAAGGUUUAUCGCCAAAGGAUCGGCCCGCGUUGGAUUAGGUAGUUGGUGGGGUAAUGGCCUACCAAGCCGACGAUCCAUAGCUGGUUUGAGAGGAUGAUCAGCCACACUGGGACUGAGACACGGCCCAGACUCCUACGGGAGGCAGCAGUGGGGAAUCUUAGACAAUGGGGGAAACCCUGAUCUAGCCAUGCCGCGUGAGUGAUGAAGGCCUUAGGGUUGUAAAGCUCUUUCAGCUGGGAAGAUAAUGACGGUACCAGCAGAAGAAGCCCCGGCUAACUCCGUGCCAGCCGCCGCGGUAAAAC